UUACGGCCAUAUCACAUUGAAACACCGGUUCACGUAUGAUCAUGUAAGUUAAGCAACGUCGAGCCUGGUCAGUGCCUAUAUGGGUAACCGCUUGUGAAUACCAGG